rnacentral:rRNA from 1 species
UACAGAGGUCUCGAGCGUUAGGCGGAAUCACUGGGCUUAAAGCGUGUGUAGGCGGAUCGGUAAGUACCUUGUGAAAUCCCACAGCUUAACUGUGGAACUGCUUGGUAUACUGCCAGUCUUGAGCCACUUAGGGGCUACCGGAACAAAUGGUGGAGCGGUGAAAUGCGUAGAUAUCAUUUGGAACGCCAAUGGUGAAAACAGGUAGCUGGGAGUGAUGCUGACGCUGGAGACACGAAAGCCAGGGGAGCAAACGGG